rnacentral:rRNA from 1 species
AUUGAACGCUGGCGGCAUGCCUUACACAUGCAAGUCGAACGGUAACGCGGGGCAACCUGGCGACGAGUGGCGAACGGGUGAGUAAUGCAUCGGAACGUGCCCAGUAGUGGGGGAUAGCCCGGCGAAAGCCGGAUUAAUACCGCAUAAGACCUACGGGUGAGAGGGGGGGAUCGCAAGACCUCUCGCGAUUGGAGCGGCCGAUGUCAGAUUAGGUAUGUGGUGGGGUAAGGGCCUACCAAGCCGACGAUCUGUAGCUGGUCUGAGAGUGACGACCAGCCGCACUGGGACUGAGACACGGCCCAGACUCCUACGGGAGGCAGCAGUGGGGAAUUUUGGACAAUGGGCGCACGCCUGAUCCAGCCAUGCCGCGUGCGGGAAGAAGGCCUUCGGGUUGUAAACCGCUUUUGUCAGGGAAGAAAUCUUCUGGGUUAAUACCUCGGGAGGAUGACGGUACCUGAAGAAUAAGCACCGGCUAACUACGUGCCAGCCGCCGCAGUAA